GACUGCCAAACUUUACCACACAAACUUUCUUCCUCUUUUUUAUUUCCUCUACUAUUUUUAUAUUAUAAUGCCACGUCAAGCAAGAAAACCAGCUGCCAAAUC
rnacentral:ribozyme from 1 species